GCCGGCCCUGCCGCCGCCGCCGUCCUCCUGCGCUCUCGGGCUCCCUGGCCCAGCUGGGAGGGUGGAACCGUGAGGACAACCGCAGUCUGCCCAGCCCCCAGGCACGCCUGUCUCCUCGGGGAGGAGGACACCUAGUUGCUGGCAGAAGAUCCUUCUGUGAAGGAUCGGCAGUAGCUGCAAAUAGUUCUGUCUUUUCAGGGGAGACCUGUUGUCUGACGUAUUUUACCAGCCAAACAAGUGUGUGCAAAGCUGUUUGUCUGAAGAGAUAUUGAACAAUUGUUCGGUCCCUCUGACUCACUGUAAAAUUGGAAGAGAUACAGCGUUCAGCAAAUUCUGUGAAUUAGUAAGCAGAAAGCAUAUUAAACAUGCAAUGUUUAUAUAUCAUAAUGUAUCGAUGAUUUUAUGCACCUCAUUUUGGCAUUAAUUUUUUUGUGAGGGUUCAUAGCACUCUAGUAAACCUUCUAACGAGGCUGUAGUAAAAACUUCACUGCUAUUAAAGCUUCACUGAAACGUGCAGAAAGCGACAUCCAGUUUAGGUGUUUGCAUGUGUUGGCACAGAGGCUAGCAGUGUAACACUGAAAUUUGGAAAUACUGAUGUCUGGAGAUGUUUUCUCACCCCAAUAGCUUGUGCAUCUGUUAGAUUCCAACCCAUCCAACCUCUGAGCGUAUGUACGGCUUUAAGGCUGGAAAAGUCUGAAAUUAAUUUAAUUUUACUGAAAUUAAAUUAAUCAAAUGCUUAAUAUAAUGGCAUUUUUAAAUGUUAUGCUGGGCUGGGGCCUAAAUCAAUGGAAUUACAGGAAUCUGCCCAGGUGAAGCACUGACAGGAGACGAAGUUCAGCCCCACCAGGAGACGUGGCAGACUCCCGGUUGGCGCUGCGCAGCGUCACCGGCGUGACACGCGCAGUGAAAUUGCCUCAUUCGGCACCUUGGCCGCGGGGGCAAACCCCAGCUCUGCAGGGCACCCGGCUUAUACCCGCAGAAGAGCCCUUUUCCCGAGGUACUGGGAUUGUUCAUGUCAGUCUGAGCGUCUCUGCAUGUGAGGUAAGCCUAGGAACUUUCUUCUGCUACGCAGGCUGUCCGGAGGAGUCAGUGUUACAGCUUAGUAUUUGUGGCAUUACCUCUGCAAUCUUGGAUAUAAUCCUCUGA
rnacentral:lncRNA from 1 species